UUCAGUUGGGAACAACACUCCGAAAGGGGUGCUAAUGCCGAACGUGGUUGUCUUCACGCAUGUGUUGACAAUUAAAGGUGGGGAUCCUUCGGGACCUGCCGCUGAAGGAGGAGCUCGCGUCCUACCAGCUUGUUGGUGAGGUAACGGCUCACCAAGGCUUACGGGUAGCUGGUCUGAGAGGAUGGUCAGCCACACUGGGACUGAGACACUGCCCAGACUCCUACGGGAGGCUGCAGUCGAGGAUCAUUCACAAUGCGCGAAAGCGUGAUGAUGCGACGCCGCGUGGAGGAUGAAGGCCUUCGGGUCGUAAACUCCUGUCAUCCGGGAGCAACCAUCUCCCCAUUAAUACGGGGGGGAUUUGAUAGUACCGGAAGAGGAAGCCACGGCUAACUCUGUGCCAGCAGCCGCGGUAACACAGAGGUGGCAAGCGUUGUUCGGAUUUACUGGGCGUAAAGGGUGCGUAGGUGGCUUUGUGUGUCGGAUAUGAAAUCUCACCGCUCAACGGUGAAACUGCAUUCGAAACUGCAGAGCUAGAGUACCGGAGAGGAGAGCGGAAUUCUUGGUGUAGCGGUGAAAUGCGUAGAUAUCAAGAAGAACACCGGUGGCGAAGGCGGCUCUCUAGACGGAUACUGACACUGAGGCACGAAAGCUGGGGGAGCAAACAGGAUUAGAUACCCUGGUAGUCCCAGCUGUAAACGUUGUGCACCUGGUGUGGGAGGAAUUGACCCCUUCCGUGCUGAAGCUAACGCGUUAAGUGCACCGCCUGGGGAGUACGGCCGCAAGGCUAAAACUCAAAGAAAUUGACGGGGGCCCGCACAAGCGGAGGAGCAUGUGGCUUAAUUCGAUGCAACGCGAAGAACCUUACCAGGGUUUGACAUGCAGCUGCACGUCCCGUGAAAGUGGGAUUCCUUCGAGGGUGCUGCACAGGUGCUGCAUGGCUGUCGUCAGUUCGUGCCGUGAGGUGUUGGGUUAAGUCCCGCAACGAACGCAACCCUUGUGCUUAGUUGCCACCAGCGGUGAUGAGCCGCUGAGCACUCUAGGCAGACUGCCCGUGAUAAGCGGGAGGAAGGUGGGGAUGACGUCAAGUCCGUAUGGCCUUUAUACCCUGGGCUGCACACGUGCUACAAUGGUCGGUACAGAAGGAUGCAAAACCGCGAGGUAGAGCAAAUCCCCAAAAUCGGCCUCAGUUCGGAUUGGAGUCUGCAACUCGACUCCAUGAAGUUGGAUUCGCUAGUAAUGGCGUAUCAGCUACGGCGCCGUGAAUACGUUCCCGGGCCUUGUACACACCGCCCGUCACAUCAUGAAAGCCGUCUGCACCCGAAGUCGCUGAUCCAACCCUUCACAGGGAGGAAGGUGCCGAAGGUGUGGGUGGUGAUUGGAAUGAAGUCGUAACAAGGU
rnacentral:rRNA from 1 species